UGUUAUUGUUGGUGGUUCAAAAAGUGUUUUGUGUAAGUUCAUGGUGUUUGUCCUAUUGUGAAUUGUGAUUAUCGGUACUGCGAUAAAUUCAGAAUAGUGUAGUAAAUACCGUUUUGUCAAGAAAACAGCACUAAACCUACAUAACCUCACUUCUACAUGCAAUGCAGAAAAUGCAAUUUCUCAGCACAGACAAAAUGAUGAAUGUCCGGGCGCAACAAAAAAAAAGAAGAAAUCGAGUUAGAAAUUGCGGGAGAUACGCAGAAAUUGGAUGAAGUUGAAGAGAAGACGUAAAAAACAUGUACACAAUUUAGAAGAAAUUAUUAAUAAUGAACCAAAUUGCUUUCAAGUUUUCAGGGCAAGGAAAAAAUAAGCUCUCUUUUAGUGAACUGACAAUAACAAGGCUACAAUAUGUCAAGUUAUGUGAUUUCUUAAAAAUUACGAACUUUGUAAGUUAAUUUAAUUGUAGGUACCACACGGAAACGUCACAAAAACGCCACAACUACUGAAAUUUAAAAAAUGGUAGGACCCUCAUUAAGCGCAGACAAAACCAAGAAUGAAUUCUCAUCGAAAAAAACAUGAGGUAUGAUUUUUUUUAUUUUAAUUAAUUAUAUCGCUUUUCAAUGAAUUGGUUAUAGAGCAAAUAAUUAUUAAAUAAAUAUUUCUGUAUAACGAUUGAAAUGUAGCAGAACAUUGUUAUUUCCAUUGACAAUGUAUUUUUAUUUAAUUGUAAGUUGGCAGUGUAUUUUUAUGUUUAAAAAAUUUAUAUUGUGUUUCACAUCAGGUGAUUUUUUAAAUUUAUGCUCUGGUUGCCCAUGAAGCUUAUGCCAGCAGUUUCAGUUUCACUGCCGACAUAAGUGUCAUGGGUAACUACAGCAGAAAUUAAAAAAAAAUCACCCGGUACAAAUUUUCAACGAAUUGGUUCUAGGACAAAUCAUUUUUAAAUGUAUAAAUAUUGCCGCGACGUUUCAAAUACACUGUUAUUUCCAGUGACAAUGUAUUUUUGUAUUUAAUAAAUAU